rnacentral:rRNA from 2 species
AUCUGGGCGGCGGAAUUCAGGAUGGCCGGCGUGCUCUCGCGGCGCGUCGGUCGUUUGAAAUUUCCGUCGCCAACGAACCGCAGACGUCGCGACCUGUUCGCGGUCGGUCCCUGCUCGGAGGAGCCACGUUCGAGCUCGUUGUGUGCGCGUUUUUCGGCGCGUCACACGGCGAAGGCGUGGAUCUCUGGCUGGCCGUCGGACAGUAUGCUCAGCGGUGUCCGGUGUCGUCGUCUCGUACGCGCGGCAUCGGUACCGGUCAGCGACGAAUUCUUCGGGCCUCUUUCCGACCCGUCUUGAAACACGGACCAAGGAGUCUAACAUGCGCGCGAGUCGCGGGGUAUCGAGCGUACUUCGGUGCGUUCGUUAUGUUGCGAAACCCGUACAUGUCGAAGGCGUAAUGAAAGUAAAUGGGGAAGAUGGUGUUUCCGAGUACACGUUCCGCGAUCGUCGGUAUCGCGGCCGGACACCCGCAUUCCCGGGGCGUCUCAACGGCCCGUCGCUGAUGCGGACCGUCGUCUUUCGGGGCGGCUGUCGGUCGGCGACGAACCGA